UUGAUGGCAUUUGCUUAUUGCCAUCACCUUACCGACUCCAUGUGGCCUUGACACAGUGUCACAACCUGUCACAGCAUGUAGGAAGAGUACUGAGUCAACAAGGUCAGCAUCUAGUUGUUCUUGUAGGGUGCAGACAUUGAUGAUCUUGUUGGCUGUCUGCAGGAACAUGGGAUGAUGACUGAUGUUGGUAUGGUGU